rnacentral:rRNA from 1 species
GUAACGGAGGCGCCCAAAGGUUCCCUCAGCCUGGUUGGUCAUCAGGUGGUGAGUGUAAGUGCACAAGGGAGCUUGACUGUGAGACUGACGGGUCGAGCAGGGACGAAAGUCGGGACUAGUGAUCCGGCGGUGGCUUGUGGAAGCGCCGUCGCUCAACGGAUAAAAGGUACCCCGGGGAUAACAGGCUGAUCUUCCCCAAGAGUCCAUAUCGACGGGAUGGUUUGGCACCUCGAUGUCGGCUCGUCGCAUCCUGGGGCUGGAGUCGGUCCCAAGGGUUGGGCUGUUCGCCCAUUAAAGCGGUACGCGAGCUGGGUUUAGAACGUCGUGAGACAGUUCGGUCCCUAUCCGCUGCGCGCGUAGGAGUCUUGAGAAGGGCUGUCCCUAGUACGAGAGGACCGGGACGGACGGACCUCUGGUGUGCCAGUUGUUCUGCCAAGAGCAUGGCUGGUUGGCUACGUUCGGGAGGGAUAACCGCUGAAAGCAUCUAAGCGGGAAGCCUGCUUCGAGAUGAGGACUCCCACCCCCUGUGUGGGGUUAAGGCUCCCGGGAGAUGACCGGGUUGAUAGGCCGGAUAUGGAAGACCCGUGAGGGUUGGAGUUGACCGGUACUAAUAAGCCGAGGGCUUGACCACACA